rnacentral:sRNA from 1 species
UGGCCCCAGGCUGCCCCCUGUCUGCUCAGGCUUCCAAAGCUACAACCUGCCAGCCUAUGCUCCUCACCCCUGAGAGGCCUGCGCGAUGCAAGACGGGAGAAAAGGAGGGGCGUACGCGGGCAAGAUGGAGGCGACUACGGCUGGUGUGGGCCGGCUAGAGGAAGAGGCGUUGCGGCGAAAGGAACGGCUGAAGGCCCUACGGGAGAAAACCGGGCGCAAGGUGAGAAAUGUGGAGUGAGGGUCGUAGCUGAGGCGGCCAGCGUUCGGGGUCCGGGUCGGGCUUGAGGAGAGCAGAGGGCUAAUAAGGAAAGACAGCUGCCGAGGGCGCGCAUGCGCGGGCGCUAACGCCUGCGCGAGAAGACGGAGCCCUCCCACGAUGUCUGGGGCUGCAUGGCGUGGGGCUGCAUGGCGUGAGACUCCUCUGGCUCUGGCGCGGUCGUCGCGCAUGCGCGGGGGUGGGUAAGGCAGUGGUCGGCGACCCGCAGUCCGUCUGACUCCUGCUUCCCGGGUGUUGCUCGUGUAGGUGUCUAGGGCUGCCUGUAGGUUCAGAUGCUUGUUGGGUUAGGCGUGAUUUGUUCCGUUCCUCUAUGGCCUAGCUGGUCUUUAACCCCCGGCUUCGAUUCUGAGUCAGACAGACUCCCCAGUCCGCAGCACCCCUCGGACAGGGCAGCAAGUGACGGUAAUAGGUACACAGCCGGAGUCGUUUCGUGCAAAAAUCAAAAAGAGGCCGGGCGCGGUGGCUCACGCCUGUAAUCCCAGUGCUUUGGGAGGCCGAAGCAGGCGGAUCACUUGAGGUUAGUAGUUCGAGACCAGCCUGGGUAACAUGGUGAAACCCCGCCUCUACUAAAAAUACAAAAAUUAGCG